CGGGGUGUAGCGCAGCCUGGUAGCGCGCUUGCUUCGGGAGCAAGAGGUCGGGAGUUCAAAUCUCCCCACCCCGACCA
rnacentral:tRNA from 1 species